rnacentral:lncRNA from 1 species
AGGCUGAAGCUCUUAAAGGCUCCUCCACCUCCCAGUUGAGCUGUAGGAUGAAAACAAGCCCUGGCAUUCCAGGCCUUUGGCAAAGCAACGUUGAAGAUCCAAACAAGAAUAUUUCAAGGCAGUGGUGGUCAGUGCCAUUGGGUGUUGUUAUGUCAACAAGAAAAGGAUCCUCUUGGAAGGAUGACCUAGCUGGGUCAUUUGUUGGGGGAAUUUGACAUCAACCUUCAGAUCUCUCCUUUUGGGCCAUCUGAGAAGCUUCCAGCAUCCUGCCGAGCAUGUGAAGACCUGCCUGAUCUGCAAGCUGAGAGAAAAUAGUCUUACUCCAACUCCCAUGAUUUCUAUGCUUUUCGGACUCUGGCCCUUUGCUGUGUCUGGUGUUGUGGUCUUGACACUUUCGUCUUCUCCAUAGACUGAACCUCCAGCCUCCUGAUGGAGUUGGGGGAGGCAUCACCAACUGCUUCUCCAGCACUGUUCAGGUCUGUUCCAUAAGACUGUCUUCCAGUGGAGUCCAGGGCAGUCAAUUUCUGUUCAAGGAUGCUGCAUUUGAAAGCCAUGGGAGCUCACUGCCCUGCACUCCCAGACCUAGCUCCCAUUUGCUGCCCAGCUUUGAAAGCCUUGCUGCUCCAUCUCUUCUUCUCUCCCACCCCACUAUUUACCUUAGCAUGGUAGGCUUUCUGGAGAAGGUGUAAUAAAAUUUGGGCAUUCAGUCUAUUGCUUGCAUUCAGAAAUCCACACGAGAGCUUGUCCAUCCUGAAAGCCUAUCUGGCUUCUGUAGAAGAGGAAAAGCACCAGCAAGUCUUGUCCCCUCAGUUAUUAUGUAUAUAUCAACAUCCUAGACCAAGCUUGCCUCACCUAGCUGUGUAGCAGCUAGACAACCAAAGCAACCCACAUGUGUGGCUGACUACACAGUCUUAGGUUUUGGAGUCGUACUUGGAGCUGUCAUCAUCUAUUGGAGGAUGCUGAAUUUCCUUAUAUAAAAUGUUGAAGUCUUUGCAUACAACUUACAAACCUCCAUUGUUUACUCUGUCA